rnacentral:lncRNA from 1 species
UGGUAGUCCCUUCCAGCCCAAGCCAUUCUAUGAUUCUAUGAUUCUGUGAUGCUAUGAUGCUACGAUUCUAUGAUUCUAUGACAGUGGAAGCUACAGUCUUACCAAAUAUGUAGAAGCAGAAACUUAAGCAUGUCUCAUUGGGAAUCUCCAACCUGUUAAAUGGGGAAUUACCAAAGCUUGUAAAUGGCACUGUAGAAAGCCAUACAUUUUGUCUUCUCCAUCAGAAGCUUGUGUGCCCUUAUUCUAAGAGACAGAAGGAGUGAAUUGUGCGUGGACUGCAACAGCUGCGAAGGUCUGCCAAAGGAGGAAGUGACAGCAGCAGUGGGCUUUCCUGAGAUGGUGUCUUGAGAAAAAGGGAAGUCUGCUGAAUCAUUUUUUGCUAUAGUCUUUGAGACAUUCUCCCGUGCUUAUCUCUACAGCUUCUCAGCCCAAAUGAUGCUGCAUGCAAUUAACAUGCAUUAAAGAGAAGAUGAACUUCGGCUACAUAAUGAUCUGCAGGUUACCAAGAAAGAGUCACAAGUUAUUCUGUACUGGAACAACAACCUGACUAAAGAAGAGACAGAGAAGUACAGUGUGAAGUAUAUUCUGAGUUACACAUUCUUUGAUACGUUUCAGGAAAGGAAAGAAAGACUACAGGAAAAGAAAAAAAGGAUACGUCUUGAGCUACAUCCUGGUUUUAAAGCUAAAGUUAAAACACAAGUUUUUAUGAAAGAAACAGAAGACCUAAUUAAGGAGGGC